UACGUAGGGUGCAAGCGUUAAUCGGAAUUACUGGGCGUAAAGCGUGCGCAGGUGGUUAUGCAAGUCUGAUGUGAGAUCCCCGAGCUUAACUUGGGAACUGCAUUGGAGACUGCAUGACUAGAGUGCGUCAGAGGGGGGUGGAAUUCCGCGUGUAGCAGUGAAAUGCGUAGAGAUGCGGAGGAACACCGAUGGCGAAGGCAGCCCCCUGGGAUAGCACUGACACUCAUGCACGAAAGCGUGGGGAGCAAACAGG
rnacentral:rRNA from 1 species